rnacentral:rRNA from 1 species
GUAGGUGGCAAGCGUUGUCCGGAAUUAUUGGGCGUAAAGCGCGCGCAGGCGGUUCUUUAAGUCUGAUGUGAAAGCCCACGGCUCAACCGUGAAGGGUCAUUGGAAACUGGAGAACUUGAGUACAGAAGAGGAAAGCGGAAUUCCACGUGUAGCGGUGAAAUGCGUAGAGAUGUGGAGGAACACCAGUGGCGAAGGCGGCUUUCUGGUCUGUAACUGACGCUGAGGCGCGAAAGCGUGGGGAGCAAACAGGGAUUAGAUACCCUGGUAGUCCACGCCGUAAACGAUGAGUGCUAAGUGUUAGGGGGGUUUCCGCCCCCUUAGUGCUGCAGCUAACGCAUUAAGCACUCCGCCUGGGGAGUACGGCCGCAAGGCUG